CGCGUCGAGAGGGUGAGAGUUCGCGCUUUCCGAAGGAGCUGCGUCCACCUCAGCCCCUCGAGGUCCCGCCGCACCCGAGAGGAUGGAGAGCCUCCCCCGAGGCCGCAGCAGGGCCCGCGAACCCACGCCGGUCGGCCCUCGUUAGCUGCUCGAAAUUUGUGUUUUAUCCGCCGCUUAGGCCUUGUCUCCCGAGCCAGUGGCUUCGUGGUUCCAAAGAAAUGGAAGAAAAGGAGCGAUGUGACCGAUUCCAUUCGGUCCUCUUGCCUUGAGGCCUGGUUGGCAUUUGCAGAGAGAAAAUACAGCAAGAAAAUCGUUGGGUUUUCUUGGAGGGGGUGGAAGAAGGAAAACAAGGUCUUUGAUUUUACAUGGUUUUUUAAAACUUCUGCACUUUGACAGUGGCGGCGAAAUACACUAAUCCAAAAGUUAUCUUUCUGUUGAGAAGAGGGGGAUUAUUUUUCCUUUUGAGUCCAACCUUUUCUUCUUCCCGUGACAAAGCAUAAAUCAUGGACACCAGAAAGUAAGGUGGACCUCAGGAAUUCUCAAAAGGCUGAGAAGCUUACAUUCCUCCUCAGGAGGGAAGGGUGGGGUGUUUUUAGCCCUCUCUGGAACCUAAAAGGAAAAACAUGAGUUGCGUGCCAUGGAAAGGAGACAAGGUCAAAUCUGAAUCAUUGGAGCUGCCCCAGGCAGCACCCCCACAAAUCUACCAUGAGAAACAGCGCAGGGAGCUCUGUGCUCUGCACGCCCUCAAUAACGUCUUCCAGGACAGCAAUGCCUUCACCCGGGAAACGCUGCAAGAGAUUUUCCAGAGGUUAUCUCCAAACACCAUGGUGACCCCCCACAAGAAGAGCAUGCUGGGAAAUGGGAACUACGAUGUGAACGUCAUUAUGGCAGCACUUCAGACCAAAGGCUAUGAAGCUGUUUGGUGGGACAAGCGCAGGGAUGUCGGCGCCAUUGCUCUCACAAACGUUAUGGGCUUCAUCAUGAACCUGCCCUCCAGCCUGUGCUGGGGUCCCCUGAAGCUGCCGCUCAAAAGGCGGCACUGGAUCUGUGUUCGAGAGGUGGGAGGUGCCUACUACAACCUCGACUCCAAACAGAAGAUGCCCGAAUGGAUUGGAGGCGAGAGCGAGCUCAGGAAAUUUCUAAAACAUCAUUUGCGAGGAGAGAACUGUGAACUCCUGCUGGUGGUACCAGAAGAGGUGGAGGCCCACCAGAGUUGGAGGGCUGAUGUGUGAUGAGUCCGGCCCAGCCUCCCCUCACCUCAGCCCCCUGAAAUCCUCCGUGAUGUGCUGUGGCCUCUACCAUGGGUCUGCCCUUGCCACUUCCCCAAACAUCUCAUCGGGUCUUUUUUCCCCUCCAAUUUGACAGUGCAAUAGGACAGACAUGUGGACUGUUGCACGAACCAACCAGCGUUACUCGCUCCUGGAAAAGGAAAGUAGGAGCUCUGUGUGCUUAGGGCGAGCUGUGGAGACCUUGGUUUUAUGUAAAAGAGAAAGAAAGGUGGGUCUUAGCUUCCUUUCCCCACUUCUAUGAGGACUUGACAGAGGCUAUGCUGGAGUUCACUGCUGCUCUAACUGACGCACCUGGAGAUGCUGCCUCCCCUUCCCCUUUCCUGGCAACCAGUGAGUCUGAACACGCAGUCCAAAGCCCAUGGGACUGGUUGGGAGGCCUCAGAGCAGAAAGACCUCUCAGGAAACCAUCUCCAGAACCGCAGCAGCGGCGCAGCGUGCUGUCUCCAGCCCUCUGUGCCACCCUGACGCCAUUUUUAAGAGUGGUUUAUGGCCAUCCUUGAAGUUUUAUAAUGAAAAGUUCUCUAAUAUU